rnacentral:rRNA from 1 species
CACGCCGUAAACGAUGAAUACUAGGUGUAGGAGGUAUCGACUCCUCCUGUGCCGCAGCUAACGCAAUAAGUAUUCCACCUGGGGAGUACGGCCGCAAGGUUGAAACUCAAAGGAAUUGAC